AAAUAAUUACAAUGUAAUGCCACUGGUAUUAACUCUAAAACUUUACUAAUUAUUUAUAUUACUCCACGGCAUAUUACACUAAGCAAUAAAAAGCCCAUUAACUUCUUACCCUCACUAACAAACAAAUCAUAAUUUAGUUAGACAUAGCAUUUACUCAAAAAUUAAAGUUUUUCUAUCGAUAUAGUACAUUUAGUUGUUAAGAGACGUGGCAUUUUUUUGAUAGAAAAACAUAUACGCACAA
rnacentral:lncRNA from 1 species